GACGAACGCUGGCGGCGUGCCUAAUACAUGCAAGUCGAGCGAAUCAAUAGGAGCUUGCUCCUGUUGGUUAGCGGCGGACGGGUGAGUAACACGUGGGCAACCUGCCUGUAAGACUGGGAUAACACCGGGAAACCGGUGCUAAUACCGGAUAAUCCUUUUCCUCUUAUGAGGAAAAGCUGAAAGUCGGUUUCGGCUGACACUUACAGAUGGGCCCGCGGCGCAUUAGCUAGUUGGUGAGGUAACGGCUCACCAAGGCGACGAUGCGUAGCCGACCUGAGAGGGUGAUCGGCCACACUGGGACUGAGACACGGCCCAGACUCCUACGGGAGGCAGCAGUAGGGAAUCUUCCACAAUGGACGAAAGUCUGAUGGAGCAACGCCGCGUGAGCGAUGAAGGCCUUCGGGUCGUAAAGCUCUGUUGUUAGGGAAGAACAAGUACCGGAGUAACUGCCGGUACCUUGACGGUACCUAACCAGAAAGCCACGGCUAACUACGCGCCAGCCGCCGCAGUAAGAC
rnacentral:rRNA from 1 species